UGGGGAGUUUACAUUGUUGGGGGCUGGGAGUACUCACCACUCUGCAGGCUCUGCCCCUGUUUAUUCCCUGAGAGUUCAUGGCCAGGGCGCCACCACUGGAGGGAGGUGGAGGGAAUUUUUGGGUGGCUGCAGCUGCAGGGACAUCAGUGUACUGAAGGAGCCUGGGAAAGCCUGAGAGCCUACAGGCCACACCCUCCCAUCCUCUCCAGCUGCACCAUCCCAGCUCCAGAAGAUGCUGUUUGCAGGAGCCCCGGGAUGGAAUGGCCUCCCUGCACCUGAAGAGAGAGGCCCUUAGCCAACCUCCCCUCUGCCCUCAGCCCCACCCAGCUCAGACUCCACUGCACCCUCUCAGGUUUCCAUGCUGGAAGAUGAGAGUGUGCCCAUCAAUUUCCAUUUUCACCAGCUGGGCAAAGGGCAAGAGGGAGAACCGACAUCAGGAGCCACAGCUGCUAUGAGGUGAGUGAGUGACUCGGACUUGCCCUGUCUGUCCUAAGUCCUGCAGACAACCAUCUCAGGAGCCCCUCUCUGUGCCUCGAGGACACAUGGUGUCAUUACACAAAGAGACAAGGUGACUUGUCGAAAGUCAUACCGCUAAUGUCAGAGCCCAUUUAGACCUCAGAGCCUGUAUGCAGAGAAAAGAGGUAGAAAACUGUGUUUGAGGAUAGCCUGGUGUACAUAGUGAGGUCCAGGCCAGCUAGGGCUACACAGUAACACCCUGUCUAAAAAACAUAAAUAAAAUAGGACUAGAAAGAUGGUUCAGUGGUCAAGAGCACUUGUUGGGGACCCUAGUUUGAUUCCCAACACCCAUGUGGUGGUAUAAUGAGUCUUUCUCUGUCCUGCCAGCCUGCUCCCAAAUAAGGACAUGGAGAGACGUAUUUAUUAAUUAUGAGAGCUUGGUCUUUAGGCAUGUUUUCAACUAGCUCUUAUAAUUUAAAUUAAUCCAUAUUUUUAUUUUUAUUAAUCUACAUUCUACUACAUUCUGUAUGUCCAACUCAUUCCAAGUCUGACAAGCAUCUCCAUCUUUCUUCCCAGUGUUCUCUCUGCCAGGAAGUCCUGCCCAUAUCUCCUGCCUAGCUAUUGGCCAUUCAGCUUUUUAUCACAGCAAUUCAUCUUCACACAGUGUACAAAUAUCUGGCUACAUGAUGGCUUACAACCAUCCAUAACACCAGUUCCAGAGGUUCCAACUCCCUCUUCUGGCCUCCAUGGGCACCGAGAAUGUAAGUGGUGCACAGGUUUACAUGCAG
rnacentral:lncRNA from 1 species